AUGAUAGCAGAAUUUGACCCAGUUAUGCAAGAUCAUUUUAGGCGCAUUCAAAAUAGUGAAAUUCUCUAUUAUUAUCUUGGGCAUAAGAUUCAAAAUGAGUUAAUUAGCCUUCUUGCUCAGAGUGUGAAAGAUUCUAUCUUAAAGGUAAUUAAGGAUGCCAAGUAUUUCUUUGUUAUUCUUGAUUGUACCCCUGAUGUGAGCCAUCAAGAACAAUUGACUCUAAUUGUGAGAUGUGUAAACAUGUCAAGUGCCACUACAGAAAUAAAUGAGUAUUUUCUAGAGUUCCUAAAGGUGGAUGAUACAUCGGGACUUGGACUUUAUAAAGAGUUAAUAACUGCACUUGGGUUGCUUGGUUUGAAUGUUAAUGAUGUUAGAGAUCAAGGAUAUGAUAAUGGUUCAAACAUGAAGGGAAAACACCAAGGUGUCCAGAAGAGGUUACUUGAAAUAAAUCCGAGAGCAUUGUACAUGCCAUGUGCCUGUCAUAGCUUGAAUCUUACCCUAUGCGAUAUGGCAAAAUCUUGCAGCAAAGCUAUUACUUUCUUUGGAGUUGUGCAACGGAUCUACAUAUUGUUUUCAGGCUCUACUAAAAGAUGGCAGGUAUUGCUUGAUAAUGUUCCAAACCUUACAGUUAAAUCUCUCUGUAAUACUCGCUGGGAGAGUCGGAUAAAGAGUGUUCAAGCUAUUAGAUAUCAAGCGCCUCAGUUAAGAAAAGCUCUAUUGGAGUUGCAGAGAACUUCUAAUGAUGACCCCAAAACUAAGAGUGAUGCAAAAUCUUUGGUUACUGCACUUAGAAAUUUUGAAUUCUUAGUUGGCAUGGUCAUUUGGCACGAUAUUUUAUUUACUAUCAACAUGGUCAGCAAGAAGUUGCAGUCUGAGUUUAUGUGCAUUGAUAAGUACAGAAAUGACGGCUUUACAUCCAGUGUGAACAUUGCAAAAUCUAUUGCAUCUGACAUGGAUAUAGACCCUGUAUUUCCUGUAAAACGUCAUGUUAUCAGAAAAAAACACUUUGAUGAAACUAAUGGCAGCGAAGAAAAUAAUCAAAUGGAAGAAGCACAAGCAGUUGCAGAGGAAUCAUUUAGAGUUAAAUACUUUCUGGUGAUGAUAGAUGUUGCAAUUAAUUCCCUGACCACCAGAUUUGAUGAGCUUAAGUCAUUUGGGAGUAUAUUUGGCUUCUUAUUCAACUCUAAAAAAAUUGAAAUCCUUGGAUGA
rnacentral:rRNA from 1 species